UAUAACUCAAGGUAAUCAGAUGCUAUUAUAAACCUUUACAAAUGACUCAUUAUAUUCUGGCAACCGCCUUUUUUUUCAUUUUGUUUUUGUUUUUAUGUUUUUUUAUUUUCUUGUCCGCGGUACUCAUCGUGGGCAUGUGUCCUCUUUACCUGAUCUGUCUAAUUCAUCUACAAAGACAUUUAUGGUAAAAGAACAGCAUUAAGUCGACACACUCAUAUGUGCACGCCAGGACAAAUAUCAAAUUAAACAAAAGGUACGCAUCAGAGAGAAAGAAAGUAAUGUGUAAUUACGUUUGUAAUUUCGGUAAUCCAAUAGAUAAAACAAAAAAUCAGAGCAAAAUAAAAAAAGAUGAAAUAAUUAGGCUUGUGCGAAGAAGAUAUUGUAAUAAGUAAAGGAUUACAGCGAAAUUGUCAAACAAAAUAGAAAACAUGAGCACUGUUAUCAACACGAACUGCAUUUCUUGAUUAAGAAAUAAAGCUAUUCAUCGAUACUUUCUACGAUGGACAUUCCGAAACGUGAUUUUUCGUAAUUCGUCUGAGAGAUUUAAGGAACAAUUGUAAACAUUGUCAGCUCUUCUCUCUACUCAAAGUGGAAAAAUCGAGUUUGUAAUAACUAUCCCUGGGGUUGAGGGAGAGGAUAGAGGGAAGGGGGAGGUGACGGGGAGGUGAAAACUAAUUCAGGUCAAAUGGCAAGCACUGCAAUGCCUGUUGUUGCAGGCAGGCAGUCAUUAGAUGCACAAAGCACUCUCUCUUUGUUGAAUUGAUGUACAGAAGCUUACUUGACCUAACUUUCUGACACAUUCCUAGACAUCUGACUAGUGUUCACAGUAGUGCAGUAGCGUGAUUCUAAAGUUCAAGUGUCUGAAUGAAUAGAGUCAUCUCUAUUUCUGGUUAAAACACAAAAUCGACUGAGUCAGAGGAUAAAGUGUAUAUACCACCAGUGCACAAAUCGCAUUCUCUCUGAUGUAUGAGUCUAAUAUCAGCUACAUAUUGGAGGUUACACGGGAUCGAUAUCUUUCAUGAUGAUGACUGAAUCGGAGCUCGAAGAACUUGAUUCAUACACCGAUGUUUCUUCCAUCAAGAAAUACGGCCAUCUUUCGUACCACCUCUAAGCACAAUAUGACCCCAGCAAAGCAACCAAGCACAAUAAUAAACAGGCUGUAUUCUAGUAGCACUUCUUGAGCUGUGAUCAGUCUUUGUACUCUGGAUUCAUUAGCCACAAAGGUAUGGUGAAGGCGUGGCGCGGGUUGGUUCAUGCUUACCCUUGCCAUUGCUCAUAAAGUAUUUUUACAUUGGCUUAUCGCAUUAACUUGGCCGAAGAAAAGAUCAAACUCCCAUGAAAAGAAAUGUGAAAAUCCCGUGACGCAGAAAAGGUUAAGUGGUCUUUACGUCCUGAUACUUGCUACAAUGACAAGGAAAGUACUCGGGUAUCCAGGUAUCAACAAACGCAGCAUGAGGCUAAGUGUAAUUUUAGCCCUCCGGCAAGUUUGUCAUCGGGUUUUUUUCGGUCGGGUUUAUCUCAUUGAAUUGUAUCACGGGAAAAUACCGGAAAUACUCUGGAAAUAAAGGCUUUUGAUUUCA
rnacentral:lncRNA from 1 species